GAAGCGACAAAACGACCGUGGAUAAAGCAGGAGAGAGAUUUUCUCUGUGGGGCGACACUCUCAGGAUGCAAUGCCCAAAGCCAACAUGGUGAACUCGGCCUCAUCCUCUUCUGCUACAACCUCAGAUUCCAAGAACCAGCCAUUGGAUGGAGAAGGAUGAAAGGAAUGCCAACAAAAGAAGUCAAUACACUGCAGGAAACCGUUUGUUGGGCACCACUCGGGAAAAAAUUUUUCACUAAGCAAAUUUUCUUCAAUAGAUAACCAGGCGUUAAAAAUGACGGUAGAUAUUUUCUUCGAAGUGAGAAACCGCAAUAUAAAUAACCAAACAGCCAUAUAAACCCAGUGGAAACUGGGUUCAUCGGGGCUCACAGAGACGGAACCAACAAUCAGGGAGGUUGCUGUAGGUUCUCUACAUAUUUGCUGUGGUUGUGUAGCCUGGUGUUCUUGUGGGACUCCUAACAGCGGGAGCCGGGCCUGUCUCUGACUCUUUGGCCUGCUUUUGGGACUGUUUCCCUCCUACCGGGUUGCCUCGUCCAGCCUUAAUAUGAGAGGAGAUGCUUAGUCUUAUUGAAACUUGAUACGCCAUAUUUGGUGGAUGUCCCUGAGAAGCCUGCCCUUUUCUGAAGUGAAAUGGAGGAGGAGCAGCUCUGGGAGAGAGGGG
rnacentral:lncRNA from 1 species